rnacentral:rRNA from 1 species
AGUGAACGCUGGCGGUAGGCCUAACACAUGCAAGUCGAACGGCAGCACAGUAAGAGCUUGCUCUUACGGGUGGCGAGUGGCGGACGGGUGAGGAAUACAUCGGAAUCUACUUUUUCGUGGGGGAUAACGUAGGGAAACUUACGCUAAUACCGCAUACGACCUACGGGUGAAAGCAGGGGAUCUUCGGACCUUGCGCGAUUGAAUGAGCCGAUGUCGGAUUAGCUAGUUGGCGGGGUAAAGGCCAACCAAGGCGACGAUCCGUAGCUGGUCUGAGAGGAUGAUCAGCCACACUGGAACUGAGACACGUUCCAGACUCCUACGGGAGGCAGCAGUGGGGAAUAUUGGACAAUGGACGCAAGCCUGAUCCAGCCAUACCGCGUGGGUUAAGAAGGCCUUCGGGUUGUAAAGCCCUUUUGUUGGGAAAGAAGAGCAGCAGGUUAAUACCCCGCUGUUCUGACGGUACCCAAAGAAUAAGCACCGGCUAACUUCGUG